AAAAUGUCUUUGAAAGCCAACGAUCUAUUUGGGGGUGCGCUUAGUGUUCUACUUCCAAGCAACGCCAAGGAUAUUAGUGAUCUACGACAGAUUCCUGAUAACCAAGAAGUGUUUGCACACCCAGUUACUGACCAAAGCAUCAUCAUUGAAAUCCUGGAAUAUGUGGAUAAAGAUGACGAGGAGGCCAUUAGAACACACUUCAGUGACCUGGCUUCGGACAAUGAUGUCCAGAGUGGAGAUGCCAUCAUUGCACAGACUGAAAAGAUCCCAGACACUGAUCUGAAAAUGACCCACAAAAUGUCUCCAAGUUUAACGAGGCAGCCAAGAACACAGUGGACAUGCAUAUUGGUCUGUUUCGUAUUUCCAAAUUUACCACGGACAUUCUGGUGACCUUCAAUAAUCCUUCAAACAUCAACCCAGAGAGCAGUAGCCACAAGCCGGUCCCUGUCAGUGCCGACCCUUGGACCCUCCAGGAUUUCAGACAGAUUCUGACCUCUCUUGCUAUCGUAGAUGAGGGAAUAUUCGGCCAGUGAAAGUCUCCAUACUUGAACUCCAUGAGACAUUUGAUACUUACUGUUGUGUUGUCAGGUAUAUGAGGUGGAUGAUCAGUUGUGAGUGAGAGCUCACUUGUACAGAGAAACAACAAAUUGAUUGUGUAACACCUUGAAUGACAAAAACCCAUUCAAUCGAUAUGGGUCACUUGAAGGGUUUUUCUAAUGUCUUAAUCAUUAAUUAUGCAAACAAGAUACUUUUUUGAAUUUUAGAUGCAUGGAAAUUUACUUUCAAAGGCUCCAGUAUUUCAGAUGUUUUGUUCAUCCUGUGUACAUACAAAACAUGAUUCUGGGAGGUGUUAUGAGAAUUUAAUUUUGUCCACCCAAACAUGUAGCAUCUUAAGGAAAAGUAUAGCAGGUUUAUAAACAUCUAUUAGAAUGGAAGGUGCUUUCUAUCAUUUGGUGUCAUUUACACUAGGGGUACUGAGGGGUACUGGGACUAUGCUUGACCUCUAGUGAACUCAUCCAGCUUGAUGUUGAUUGGUCAUUAAUGAGGAUAUUGUACGUGAAGUAUUGUAAAGUUAAUUGUACCAAAGUCUUCGCCUUGUAAUGACAUUUGGUUAUUGUUAUAAAGACAAUAAAAUAAAAAAUAUCAAACCAUUACUGAAAGAUAUUUUAUAGGCUAUAGUUCUGUAUGAAAUAGACAACUUUUUAUCUGAUUAAUUUUACUGUUGGUUAUGUGUUUCAUGUUAUAAGUUCUGUCCAGAAUGUGAAUGUGAAUGGAUAUGUACACCUUAGUUAAUAAUAAAUAUUUGACAU
rnacentral:misc_RNA from 1 species